rnacentral:rRNA from 1 species
UACGGGGGGGGCAAGCGUUGUUCGGAAUUACUGGGCGUAAAGGGCUCGUAGGCGGCCAACUAAGUCAUACGUGAAAUGCCCGGGCUUAACCUGGGAACUGCAUUUGUGACUGCAUGGCUAGAGUUUGGCAGAGGGGGGUAGAAUUCCACGUGUAGCAGUGAAAUGCGUAGAUAUGUGGAGGAACACCGAUGGCGAAGGCAGCCCCCUGGGUCAAGACUGACGCUCAUGCACGAAAGCGUGGGGAGCAAACAGG